rnacentral:rRNA from 1 species
GACGUAGGGCGCGAGCGUUGUCCGGAUUUAUUGGGCGUAAAGAGCUCGUAGGCGGCUUGUCGCGUCGUUCGUGAAAACCCGGGGCUCAACUCCGGGCUUGCGGGCGAUACGGGCAGGCUAGAGUUCGGUAGGGGAGACUGGAAUUCCUGGUGUAGCGGUGAAAUGCGCAGAUAUCGGGAGGAACACCAGUGGCGAAGGCGACUUCCUGGCCUGUUCUUGACGCUGAGGCGCGAAAGCGUGGGGAGCAAACAGG